CUGGCCACAUGACCUUGGAGGUGUCUACGGACAACACAAAACUACAGGCCCCCCAACCUCGAAAUUUGACAACACAACCCAUCAUCCACGGCUCUAGGUUGAUACAACAAAAAUAAAAGAAAAAUAAAGUCCUAAUUAGAGGGAGAGGAAUAAUAGUUUUUAUCCAAUUGCUGCCAGUUAGAGGGCUAAGGUCCGCCCACUUGGUCUCCUAGCAACCCACUCAGCCCAGGGGACAGGCACAGUUAGGCCUCACUUUUAGGCCUCUUCCACAGAUUAUCAGAUUUUAACUGGAUUAUAUGGCAGUGUAGGCUCAAGGCCCUUCCACACAGCUAAAUCACCCAUUUAGAAUCUUAAAUUAUCUGCUUUGAACUGGAUUAUCUUGACUCCACACUGCCAUAUAAUCCACUUCAGUGUGCAUUUUAUACAGCUGUGUAGAAGGGGCCUCAUAUAAUCCAGUUCUAAGCAGAUAAUAUAAGAUUCUAAAUGGGUUAUAUAGCUGUGUGGAAGGGCCUUGAGCCUUCCUGUAUUAUAAAUAUACAGUAGAGUCUCACUUAUCCAACAUAAACAGGCCGGCAGAACCUUGGAUAAGUGAAUAUGUUGGAUAAUAAGAAGGGAUUCAGGAAAAGCCAAUUAAACAUCAAAUUAGGUCAUCAUUAUACAAAUUAAGCACCAAAACAUCAUGUUAUACAACACAUUUAACAGAAAAAGUAGUUCCAUGCGCAGUAAUGCUAUGUAGUAAUUACAGUAGAGUCUCACAUAUCCAACACUCGCUUAUCCAACGUUCUGGAUUAUCCAACACAUUUUUGUAGUCAAUGUUUUCAAUAUAACGUGAUAUUUUGGUGCUAAUUUUGUAAAUACAGUAAUUGAGAAAUGGAGAAAUGGAGAUGAGCACCAACCCCCAGAGUCAGGACUUAAUGUCAGGGGAAAACCUUUACCCUUUACCUUAACUACCACCAAUUCCUCAAUACUUUAUUUCCCAUACCACCAUACUUCGCCACAGCAACGCGUGGCCGGGCACAGCUAGUUGGAAUACAAUAUUCAAAAUACCCACCUAUAACCAUGUUCUCAGGUCAGUUCUGGGAACUGUAAUCAAACUAUUCAAUUUCUUCUAGUGCACUGCGAACAAAAACUUUGAAAAACAAGCCCAUGGGAACAGAGGACAGUAUACUACUUUAAACCAAGUCAGUUAAGCAUCAACUCUGGUUAUUGUUUGCUCCAUUAAUGAAAAUCAGAGCUUGAGGGAGUUGCUUUUUAUGGGUUUU
rnacentral:lncRNA from 1 species